rnacentral:rRNA from 1 species
AUUGAACGCUGGCGGCAGGCAUAACACAUGCAAGUCGAACGAGCGGCGGACGGGUGAGUAAUGUCUGGGAAACUGCCUGAUGGAGGGGGAUAACUACUGGAAACGGUAGCUAAUACCGCAUACCAUCAGAUGUGCCCAGAUGGGAUUAGCUAGUAGGUGGGGUAAUGGCUCACCUAGGCGACGAUCCCUAGCUGGUCUGAGAGGAGGACCAGCAACACGGGAACUGAGACACGGUCAAGACUCCUACGGGAGGCAGGAGUGGGGAAUAUUGCACAAUGGGCGAAAGCCUGAGGCAGCCAGGCCGCGUGUGUGAAGAAGGCCUUCGGGUUGUAAAGCACUUUCAGCGUGGAGGCGUUACACGCAGAAGAAGCACCGGCUAACUACGUGCCAGCAGCCGCGGUAAUUC